UAUCUGAUUAAAAUAUGACCAUGUAGAUCAUUGUUGCUACCACUGUUAUAUCAUUACUACAGAUCUAGUACAAAGUAUGUCAAAUAAGGGUCCAUGGAAAAGUUAUGAUUUGCUGAAUAUGAUUAUGCUAUUUGUAUGCAUAUUUCAUGUUUGUAUCUGAAGUUAUAAAUAUUAACUAUGUACCUGUAUUUCAAAUGUUGGCUCCUGUGAUAGA